CCAUGCAUGAAUGCCAUAAUGCACCCUCUCAAUACUCUACUAAAAAGGAGUAUGAUCAAGACUACCACUCACUCGACUCCGACCCAAUCAUAAACUAACAUCAGGGUUGGGAGUGAGGGUCAAGGAAGUGCAAUACAACUCAAUAUACCACUAAAAAGGCUCUACAAAUCUUUGAAAUAGAGGAAAUGAAAUUAAUUUACAAAAGAAAUCAUUUCACAAUUCGAA
rnacentral:lncRNA from 1 species